rnacentral:rRNA from 1 species
AGGACGAACGCUGGCGGCGUGCUUAACACAUGCAAGUCGAGCGAGGCCCUUCCUUCGGGGAGGUGCCCUAGCGGCGAACGGGUGAGUAACACGUGGGCAACCUGCCCCUAGCACUGGGAUAACUCCGGGAAACCGGGGCUAAUACCAGAUAUGACCUUCUUGGGCAUCCUCGAAGGUGUAAAGGAUUCUGGCUAGGGAUGGGCCCGCGGCCUAUCAGCUUGUUGGUGGGGUAAUGGCCUACCAAGGCGACGACGGGUAGCCGGCCUGAGAGGGUGACCGGCCACACUGGGACUGAGACACGGCCCAGACUCCUACGGGAGGCAGCAGUGGGGAAUCUUGCACAAUGGGCGAAAGCCUGAAGCAGCAACGCCGCGUGUGCGAUGACGGCCUUCGGUUGUAAGCACUUUUGCUGGGAAGAGGAAGGACGGUACCGGCAGAAUAAGCCUCGGCUAACUACGUGCCAGCAGCCGC